rnacentral:rRNA from 1 species
ACAGGUGCUGCAUGGCUGUCGUCAGCUCGUGUCGUGAGAUGUUGGGUUAAGUCCGUAACGAGCGCAACCCUUGUCCUUAGUUACCAGCACGUUAUGGUGGGCGACUCUAAGGAGACUGCCGGUGACAACCGGAGGAAGGUGGGGAGUGACGUCAAGUCAUCAUGGCCCUUGCGGCCUGGGCUACACACGUGCUACAAUGGUCGGUACAAAGGGUUGCCAAGCCGCGAGGUGGAGCUAAUCCCAUAAAACCGAUCGUAGUCCGGAUCGCAGUCUGCAACUCGACUGCGUGAAGUCGGAAUCGCUAGUAAUCGUGAAUCAGAAUGUCACGGUGAAUACGUUCCCGGGCCUU